rnacentral:lncRNA from 1 species
GUUGUAUAACUUGAUUUUUAGUUUUUGAUAAUAUAUUUUACUGAUUCCUAAUAUUUUUGUACUCAACUUUGUUAUGUUUUACACAAAAAUAACGAACCAUUGAGGUGUGUUUUCUGGACUUUGCCAAAGGACGACGAAAUCAACAUCGUAACAGAAUAUCAUGCGAUAAUAACCGGAAGUAGCUGAUAUAAAACGGAAACAGCUGAUAAAAACCGCAGGCAAGUGAUAACAAAAGUGAUAUCACAGGGCUGAAGUAAUUCUUCAAGUUUAACGAAAAAUAUAACUUUUAGCAUUGGGUACAAUUAUGUCAUUAUUUUCUAUGAGAAUAUGAUAAAAAAAUUAUGCUUACCUGUAUUUAGUUUGUUACAUGAUGAAUUUUUGGUUGCUCAGUUUUAAUGUUCACUGAUUGUAUGAUAUUAAGAUUUUUUGGUAUUCUGACCACUAUACAUAUUAAUUGAUAUAGUCCAUUGAUUGUUUAACAUCACUCGCGGGUUUAAUGUUGAAUAUCGUAUUGGUCAGUUGAAUUGGCGGAUAAAGCCAGAGUGCUCCGAGCCACCAAUCUUCGGUUAGAAAAUAUUGUUACACUCCUGUUCUAAUGUUAUACUUUAUAAUUUCUAUUUUUGAAACACGUGUAAAUUGAAUAGAUCUUUUGUUACGAAUAACAAUGGAUUUUGACCACAGGGUGUGACUAGAGAGGUUUCUGGAAACCCCUGCUUCUACAUCCCGCAAACAAAGUCCAUUAUAUACGGAACAAUAGAAAUUGAUUAUUCUUUACAUAGCAUGAUCAUAAGAAAUUAUUAAUAGUGUUCACUACAAAUUGUUUCAAGAUAUUAAAAAUUUUUUUUUUAGGAAAUUCCAAUAGCGACAAAACAAUUAAGCAUCUAUUUUAAAUAAAAAAAUAAUCAUUUAAUUACUGCUUUGCUGAAGCAAUAUUUUUUAUACCAGUCUUAUGUCUCUAUUCUAAAGCAUUGGUCUUUUUUUAAAAGGGGAGAUUCUUACUCUCGGAACACCCCACUCGUUUUCGAGUGGUCGAUCCAGGAUAUCCGGGGUAGGGGUUCCGCGGGUUGGACCCGAUUUAAAAGAUCAAUAUAUUUGAAUGAUUGGAACCCCAUCCCCUAUCUUGAGUUGGGAACCCUCAGCUUGAUCAUCC